rnacentral:rRNA from 1 species
GGGUUGUGAGGUUAAGCGACUAAGCGUACACGGUGGAUGCCCUGGCAGUCAGAGGCGAUGAAGGACGUGCUAAUCUGCGAUAAGCGUCGGUAAGGUGAUAUGAACCGUUAUAACCGGCGAUUUCCGAAUGGGGAAACCCAGUGUGUUUCGACACACUAUCAUUAACUGAAUCCAUAGGUUAAUGAGGCGAACCGGGGGAACUGAAACAUCUAAGUACCCCGAGGAAAAGAAAUCAACCGAGAUUCCCCCAGUAGCGGCGAGCGAACGGGGAGCAGCCCAGAGCCUGAAUCAGUGUGUGUGUUAGUGGAAGCGUCUGGAAAGGCGCGCGAUACAGGGUGACAGCCCCGUACACAAAAAUGCACAUGCUGUGAGCUCGAUGAGUAGGGCGGGACACGUGGUAUCCUGUCUGAAUAUGGGGGGACCAUCCUCCAAGGCUAAAUACUCCUGACUGACCGAUAGUGAACCAGUACCGUGAGGGAAAGGCGAAAAGAACCCCGGCGAGGGGAGUGAAAAAGAACCUGAAACCGUGUACGUACAAGCAGUGGGAGCACGCUUAGGCGUGUGACUGCGUACCUUUUGUAUAAUGGGUCAGCGACUUAUAUUCUGUAGCAAGGUUAACCGAAUAGGGGAGCCGAAGGGAAACCGAGUCUUAACUGGGCGUUAAGUUGCAGGGUAUAGACCCGAAACCCGGUGAUCUAGCCAUGGGCAGGUUGAAGGUUGGGUAACACUAACUGGAGGACCGAACCGACUAAUGUUGAAAAAUUAGCGGAUGACUUGUGGCUGGGGGUGAAAGGCCAAUCAAACCGGGAGAUAGCUGGUUCUCCCCGAAAGCUAUUUAGGUAGCGCCUCGUGAAUUCAUCUCCGGGGGUAGAGCACUGUUUCGGCAAGGGGGUCAUCCCGACUUACCAACCCGAUGCAAACUGCGAAUACCGGAGAAUGUUAUCACGGGAGACACACGGCGGGUGCUAACGUCCGUCGUGAAGAGGGAAACAACCCAGACCGCCAGCUAAGGUCCCAAAGUCAUGGUUAAGUGGGAAACGAUGUGGGAAGGCCCAGACAGCCAGGAUGUUGGCUUAGAAGCAGCCAUCAUUUAAAGAAAGCGUAAUAGCUCACUGGUCGAGUCGGCCUGCGCGGAAGAUGUAACGGGGCUAAACCAUGCACCGAAGCUGCGGCAGCGACGCUUAUGCGUUGUUGGGUAGGGGAGCGUUCUGUAAGCCUGCGAAGGUGUGCUGUGAGGCAUGCUGGAGGUAUCAGAAGUGCGAAUGCUGACAUAAGUAACGAUAAAGCGGGUGAAAAGCCCGCUCGCCGGAAGACCAAGGGUUCCUGUCCAACGUUAAUCGGGGCAGGGUGAGUCGACCCCUAAGGCGAGGCCGAAAGGCGUAGUCGAUGGGAAACAGGUUAAUAUUCCUGUACUUGGUGUUACUGCGAAGGGGGGACGGAGAAGGCUAUGUUGGCCGGGCGACGGUUGUCCCGGUUUAAGCGUGUAGGCUGGUUUUCCAGGCAAAUCCGGAAAAUCAAGGCUGAGGCGUGAUGACGAGGCACUACGGUGCUGAAGCAACAAAUGCCCUGCUUCCAGGAAAAGCCUCUAAGCAUCAGGUAACAUCAAAUCGUACCCCAAACCGACACAGGUGGUCAGGUAGAGAAUACCAAGGCGCUUGAGAGAACUCGGGUGAAGGAACUAGGCAAAAUGGUGCCGUAACUUCGGGAGAAGGCACGCUGAUAUGUAGGUGAAGCGACUUGCUCGUGGAGCUGAAAUCAGUCGAAGAUACCAGCUGGCUGCAACUGUUUAUUAAAAACACAGCACUGUGCAAACACGAAAGUGGACGUAUACGGUGUGACGCCUGCCCGGUGCCGGAAGGUUAAUUGAUGGGGUUAGCGCAAGCGAAGCUCUUGAUCGAAGCCCCGGUAAACGGCGGCCGUAACUAUAACGGUCCUAAGGUAGCGAAAUUCCUUGUCGGGUAAGUUCCGACCUGCACGAAUGGCGUAAUGAUGGCCAGGCUGUCUCCACCCGAGACUCAGUGAAAUUGAACUCGCUGUGAAGAUGCAGUGUACCCGCGGCAAGACGGAAAGACCCCGUGAACCUUUACUAUAGCUUGACACUGAACAUUGAGCCUUGAUGUGUAGGAUAGGUGGGAGGCUUAGAAGUGUGGACGCCAGUCUGCAUGGAGCCGACCUUGAAAUACCACCCUUUAAUGUUUGAUGUUCUAACGUUGACCCGUAAUCCGGGUUGCGGACAGUGUCUGGUGGGUAGUUUGACUGGGGCGGUCUCCUCCUAAAGAGUAACGGAGGAGCACGAAGGUUGGCUAAUCCUGGUCGGACAUCAGGAGGUUAGUGCAAUGGCAUAAGCCAGCUUGACUGCGAGCGUGACGGCGCGAGCAGGUGCGAAAGCAGGUCAUAGUGAUCCGGUGGUUCUGAAUGGAAGGGCCAUCGCUCAACGGAUAAAAGGUACUCCGGGGAUAACAGGCUGAUACCGCCCAAGAGUUCAUAUCGACGGCGGUGUUUGGCACCUCGAUGUCGGCUCAUCCCAUCCUGGGGCUGAAGUAGGGUGGUACGCGCGCUGGGUUUAGAACGUCGUGAGACAGUUCGGUCCCUAUCUGCCGUGGGCGCUGGAGAACUGAGGGGGGCUGCUCCUAGUACGAGAGGACCGGAGUGGACGCAUCACUGGUGUUCGGGUUGUCAUGCCAAUGGCACUGCCCGGUAGCUAAAUGCGGAAGAGAUAAGUGCUGAAAGCAUCUAAGCACGAAACUUGCCCCGAGAUGAGUUCUCCCUGACCCUUUAAGGGUCCUGAAGGAACGUUGAAGACGACGACGUUGAUAGGCCGGGUGUGUAAGCGCAGCGAUGCGUUGAGCUAACCGGUACUAAUGAACCGUGAGGCUUAACCUUACAACGCCGAAGCUGUU